UUUAAUUUUAAUAGACUGCAAGGUUUACACACGAAUCAUCAUUGAGUCAUAAAUAAAGAAGACCACAGAUAUAAUAAACCAUUUAUAACCACAAUGGAAACACUGUCUAUCACUUUUCUUAGGAAAUGCAUUCUUACAUACCAUAUUUGCGUCCAUCCAGACAAGGAUUACUUCGUAUGGUCACUUACCGACCUAUCCUAGGGUAAUACUUAUCACUACGAAGUCAACAUUAUCUAUAGUAGUUAACCAAAAAAAA